GAAGUGAGUGGCGAACGGGUGAGUAACACGUGGGUAACCUGCCCAGAAGUAGGGGAUAACACCUGGAAACAGAUGCUAAUACCGUAUAACAGAGAAAACCGCAUGGUUUUCUUUUAAAAGAUGGCUCUGCUAUCACUUCUGGAUGGACCCGCGGCGUAUUAGCUAGUUGGUGAGGUAAAGGCUCACCAAGGCAGUGAUACGUAGCCGACCUGAGAGGGUAAUCGGCCACAUUGGGACUGAGACACGGCCCAGACUCCUACGGGAGGCAGCAGUAGGGAAUCUUCCACAAUGGACGCAAGUCUGAUGGAGCAACGCCGCGUGAGUGAAGAAGGGUUUCGGCUCGUAAAGCUCUGUUGUUAAAGAAGAACGUGGGUAAGAGUAACUGUUUACCCAGUGACGGUAUUUAACCAGAAAGCCACGGCUAACUACGUGCCAGCAGCCGCGGUAAUACGUAGGUGGCAAGCGUUAUCCGGAUUUAUUGGGCGUAAAGCGAGCGCAGGCGGUCUUUUAAGUCUAAUGUGAAAGCCUUCGGCUCAACCGAAGAAGUGCAUUGGAAACUGGGAGACUUGAGUGCAGAAGAGGACAGUGGAACUCCAUGUGUAGCGGUGAAAUGCGUAGAUAUAUGGAAGAACACCAGUGGCGAAGGCGGCUGUCUGGUCUGCAACUGACGCUGAG
rnacentral:rRNA from 1 species